rnacentral:rRNA from 1 species
UACGGAGGGUGCGAGCGUUAAUCGGAAUUACUGGGCGUAAGGGGUGCGUAGGUGGUGAGAUAAGUUAUCUGUGAAAGCCCUGGGCUCAACCUGGGAAGGUCAGAUAAGACUGUUUUACUUGAGUAUGGGAGAGGGUAGUGGAAUUUCCGGUGUAGCGGUGAAAUGCGUAGAGAUCGGAAGGAACACCAGUGGCGAAGGCGGCUACCUGGCCUAAUACUGACACUGAGGCACGAAAGCGUGGGGAGCAAACAGG